AGGCUCCUGGCUCAAGGCUGAAUAUUACACCAAACCCCGGAACAGACUCAGGGAUGUCAGAGUCUGGGCCAAAGUGUAUUGUGCUGCACCAUGAUGUGGAGCCGAGAGCCUUCAUUUUUCUCACAAUGUAUUUUGAAUAGCAGCUGCUUUGUAAUGUGUACAAUAGGAUCCAUUUCCAGAUCUGCAGAUGGAACUCGUGCAGCAGAGGCUUCACAGUGCUGUGCUUAAUCCCUGCGCCAUCAGAGAGGCCCCACGCCUUGCUUUUAUGUCAGCUUCAGGGUCUGGCUGCGGCAGACACUGUUGGUGAAAGGCUGGGAGUCCUGGAGCUUGCAACAGACCUACCUGUGCCUUCUGCCCCAGCCCGCCUGCCCCAGCCCACUGUGACCUGCUCAUUAGCUGGAGUUAUGUUGGGACAAGGCCUGGGGGUAGACUAAAAGUUUCAGGGAGUGACUGGCCAGGAGCCUGACUUGUGCCCCCCAGAUGACCAGGUGAGCUCUUAGAAGUCUCCUGCUUCUCUACUCCCUGCUUGCUUCAAGUUGCAAAUGUGUCCCUGCUGGGGCCAUGGGUACUCUGUCGCCCAAUGGCUCAGGGCUCGGACUUUGGAAAAAGAUCACCUCUGGGC